rfam:Stegodyphus mimosarum contig15537, whole genome shotgun sequence.
GCCUUCGUGGUGUAGUGGUCAGCAUGCUCGACGCGUAACCGAGAGAUCCGCGGUUCGAUUCCCGGUGAAGGUG